GGAUAACCUGCCCUUGGGACCGGCAUAACCCCGGGAAACUGGGGAUAAUUCCGGAUAACGCAUAUUUGCUGGAAUGCUUUAUGCGUCAAAAGGAUUCGUCUGCCCAAGGAUGGGUCUGCGGCCUAUCAGGUAGUAGUGGGUGUAAUGUACCUACUAGCCAGCGACGGGUACGGGUUGUGAGAGCAAGAGCCCGGAGAUGGAUUCUGAGACAUGAAUCCAGGCCCUACGGGGUGCAGCAGGCGCGAAAACUUUACAAUGCGGGAAACCGUGAUAAGGGGACACCGAGUGCCAGCAUCAUAUGCUGGCUGUCCGGAUGUGUAAAAUACAUCCGUUAGCAAGGGCCGGGCAAGACCGGUGCCAGCCGCCGCGGUAACACCGGCGGCCCGAGUGGUGAUCGUGAUUAUUGGGUCUAAAGGGUCCGUAGCCGGUUUGGUCAGUCCUCCGGGAAAUCUGAUAGCUCAACUAUUAGGCUUUCGGGGGAUACUGCCAGACUUGGAACCGGGAGAGGUAAGAGGUACUACAGGGGUAGGAGUGAAAUCUUGUAAUCCCUGUGGGACCACCUGUGGCGAAGGCGUCUUACCAGAACGGGUUCGACGGUGAGGGACGAAAGCUGGGGGCACGAACCGGAUUAGAUACCCGGGUAGUCCCAGCCGUAAACGAUGCUCGCUAGGUGUCAGGCAUGGCGCGACCGUGUCUGGUGCCGCAGGGAAGCCGUGAAGCGAGCCACCUGGGAAGUACGGCCGCAAGGCUGAAACUUAA
rnacentral:rRNA from 1 species